GGUUAAGCGACUAAGCGUACACGGUGGAUGCCCUGGCAGUCAGAGGCGAUGAAGGACGUGCUAAUCUGCGAAAAGCGUCGGUAAGGUGAUAUGAACCGUUAUAGCCGGCGAUGUCCGAAUGGGGAAACCCAGUGCAAUUCGUUGCACUAUCGUUAACUGAAUCCAUAGGUUAACGAGGCGAACCGGGGGAACUGAAACAUCUAAGUACCCCGAGGAAAAGAAAUCAACCGAGAUUCCCCCAGUAGCGGCGAGCGAACGGGGAGCAGCCCAGAGCCUGAAUCAGCAUGUGUGGUAGUGGAACGGUCUGGAAAGGCCGGCGAUACAGGGUGACAGCCCCGUACACAAAAUUGCAUGUGUUGUGAGCUCGAUGAGUAGGGCGGGACACGUGGUAUCCUGUCUGAAUAUGGGGGGACCAUCCUCCAAGGCUAAAUACUCCUGACUGACCGAUAGUGAACCAGUACCGUGAGGGAAAGGCGAAAAGAACCCCGGCGAGGGGAGUGAAAAAGAACCUGAAACCGUGUACGUACAAGCAGUGGGAGCCUCUUUA
rnacentral:rRNA from 1 species